rnacentral:lncRNA from 1 species
GAAAGAGUAAAUCCUAAAUAGACUGGAAGCUGAGAACAGACAGCCGGAAAGAAGUAAUCAGCAGACAAAGCCAGGAACAUCAGAAGUGUCGAGUGGCUCAGAUUUGAAAGAAACAAUCCUUUUGUAGACAGAGUGAUAGAGGAGCUGUAUCUGGAGGCUCUCACGUGGCAGGACUUGAAGAAUAUGGCCUUCCAUUCACAAUCCAGCAGCAAGGAGAA